AAACCUAGUUUACCUUAUGUGCAAACAUCGUUCCACCUAUGUGCAAACAUCGUUUACCCUAUGUGCAAACAUAGUUUACCUUAUGUGCAAACACCUAUUGCGUUAUGUGCAAAUACCUAUUAAGUUAUGUAUAACAACUACAUCAUUAUGUGCAAACACUAUUACGUUAUGUGCAAAUACCGCUUACAUUAUGUGCAAACACCGAUAACGCUUUGUGCAAAUGCCUUUUACAUUAUGUCCAAACA
rnacentral:lncRNA from 1 species